AUUGAACGCUGGCGGCAUGCUUUACACAUGCAAGUCGAACGGUAACAGGCCGCAAGGUGCUGACGAGUGGCGAACGGGUGAGCAAUGCAUCGGAACGUGCCCAGUCGUGGGGGAUAACUACUCGAAAGAGUAGCUAAUACCGCAUACGAUCUAUGGAUGAAAGCGGGGGACCGUAAGGCCUCGCGCGAUUGGAGCGGCCGAUGUCAGAUUAGGUAGUUGGUGGGGUAAAGGCUCACCAAGCCAACGAUCUGUAGCUGGUCUGAGAGGACGACCAGCCACACUGGGACUGAGACACGGCCCAGACUCCUACGGGAGGCAGCAGUGGGGAAUUUUGGACAAUGGGCGCAAGCCUGAUCCAGCAAUGCCGCGUGCAGGAAGAAGGCCUUCGGGUUGUAAACUGCUUUUGUACGGAACGAAACGGCUCUGGUUAAUACCCGGGGCUAAUGACGGUACCGUAAGAAUAAGCACCGGCUAACUACGUG
rnacentral:rRNA from 1 species